rnacentral:tRNA from 1 species
GGGAUGUAGCUCAAUGGUAGGGUAUUUGCCUAGCACGUGGCAAGCCCUAGGUUCAAUCCCUAGUACUCG